rnacentral:lncRNA from 1 species
UAAGAUCUAAAAAAUGUAAAUCCAGAACAUGUAUUGGAAAAAGUCAACGAAAUGGAAAUUAACAGAUUGAAAAAUGUAGACGAAUCAAAAAUUAAUGGCUUCAAAUCGAAUCCUCCACCACCGUCGGCGCCGAAGAUCUUGCUUGUUGAACGAAACUCCAUCACCUUCAAGAUUCAAUAGAUCUUGUUCUCUGUCACGAAAUCUCUCUAUUAAUCCACUUUUUGCGUUUUGGACACCUUCGCCAGAGAGCCACCGUCCACCGCCGGUUCCAAGGACCCUGGUCAUCUUCUCCCUUUCAUUUUCUGGGCAACUUAUCUUUUUUUUUUUUUUAUGAUUUUUGUUAUCAAGUUUUAAUGGAAAAGAACCGUACAUUUUACUGAUAUAGCAAUACAGGGAAAAAUGUUCAUCUAUUUUUUAAUGUAGGGGUUAAUCUAUCAUGUAAAAAAACAGUUGAAGAUUGAAUAAGAGCGUGAAUAAAUCAAAAGGGGGAUUUUGAUACUAAACUGUCCAUGGGUAAGAAUU